GAUGACAACUUCUUUUGUCCCUUCUCAGUCUGUGUUCUCUCUGUUGAGGGAGUCCUGGAUAGAGUGGCAAUAUGAAAAGACUAUUUGGAGGAAAGUACUGAUUUCACUCCAUGUAAACCCUUUGAAGCUACAGAAGAACUACCCUGUCUUCUCCACUCCACCAUUAUGAAUCUUCCACAUGAAACUGAGAUCCUGAUCCAUGUCCUCUAGAGAGCUUGAAGAACCACCUGCUUAGCCUGUUAUCAGAGCAGAGGAACUUGAUUGCG